AGGAGAGUAGCUCAAUUGGUAGAGCACCGGUCUCCAAAACCGGGGGUUGCAGGUUCGAUUCCUGUCUCUCCUG
rnacentral:tRNA from 1 species